GCCAUGGGAGUCGGGAGUGCCUGAAGUUCGUGACCGUCACAGGAGCGACCUAAGGCAAGACCGAUGACUGGGGCUAAGUCGUAACAAGGUACC
rnacentral:rRNA from 1 species